GCUUUUGACCAAUAAAGGUCUCAACAUACAUUCUGAUAACAUGUGUGUGUGAAGGAAAAAUAACAUAGACACAGAUUAUCAACAAUCUGGGCCUACAGUAAGUUCACAGGUGAGUUGAAAAGGCAGAGUGCACAUUGCCCCGAGGGGCCAGCAACAUCCUAAGGAUUUCAAUAAUGAUCCUUCCGCAGGUUCACCUACGGAAACCUUGUUACGACUUUUACUUCCUCUAAAUGACCAAGA
rnacentral:misc_RNA from 1 species